UACGUAGGGUGCGAGCGUUAAUCGGAAUUACUGGGCGUAAAGCGUGCGCAGGCGGUUUUGUAAGCCAGAUGUGAAAUCCCCGGGCUUACCUGGGAAUGGCAUUUGGGGACUGCAAGGCUUGAGUGCGGCAGAGGAGACUGGAAUUCCUGGUGUAGCAGUGAAAUGCGUAGAUAUCAGGAGGAACACCGAUGGCGAAGGCAGGUCUCCUGGGCUGACACUGACGCUCAUGCACGAA
rnacentral:rRNA from 1 species